rnacentral:rRNA from 1 species
AUACGUAGGUGACAAGCGUUAUCCGGAUUUACCGGGCGUAAAGGGCGUGUAGGCGGUCUUGCAAGUCAGAAGUGAAAUUCCUGAGCUCAACUCGGGCGCUGCUUCUGAAACUGCAGGACUUGAGUGCUGGAGGGGAUAGCGGAAUUCCUAGUGGAGCGGUAAAAUGCGCAGAUAUUAGGAAGAACACCGGGGGCGAAGGCGGCUAUCUGGACAGUACCGGACGCUGAGGCGCGAAAGCGUGGGGAGCAAACAGGAUGAGAUACCCCGGUAGUCCACGCCGUAAACGAUGAAUACUAGGUGUAGGGGGUAUCGACUCCCUCUGUGCCGCAGUUAACACAAUAAGUAUUCCGCCUGGGGAGUACGGCCGCAAGGUUGAAACUCAAAUGAAUUGACGGGG